GGUCAAGUGAAGAAGCGCAUACGGUGGAUGCCUUGGCAGUCAGAGGCGAUGAAAGACGUGGUAGCCUGCGAAAAGCUUCGGGGAGUCGGCAAACAGACUGUGAUCCGGAGAUGUCUGAAUGGGGGAACCCAGCCAUCACAAGAUGGUUAUCUUACACUGAAUACAUAGGUGUAAGAGGCGAACCAGGGGAACUGAAACAUCUAAGUACCCUGAGGAAAAGAAAUCAACCGAGAUUCCCUUAGUAGUGGCGAGCGAACGGGGACCAGCCCUUAAGUUGUAUUGAGAUUAGCGGAACGCUCUGGAAAGUGCGGCCAUAGUGGGUGAUAGCCCUGUACGCGAAAAUCCCUUUGCAAUGAAAUCGAGUAGGACGGGGCACGAGAAACCUUGUCUGAAUAUGGGGGGACCAUCCUCCAAGGCUAAAUACUACUGACUGACCGAUAGUGAACCAGUACCGUGAGGGAAAGGCGAAAAGAACCGCGGAGAGCGGAGUGAAAUAGAUCCUGAAACCGUAUGCGUACAAGCAGUGGGAGCCCACUUUGUUGGGUGACUGCGUACCUUUUGUAUAAUGGGUCAGCGACUUAUUUUCAGUGGCGAGCUUAACCGAAUAGGGGAGGCGUAGCGAAAGCGAGUCUUAAUAGGGCGUCUAGUCGCUGGGAAUAGACCCGAAACCGGGCGAUCUAUCCAUGGGCAGGUUGAAGGUUGGGUAACACUAACUGGAGGACCGAACCGACUACCGUUGAAAAGUUAGCGGAUGACCUGUGGAUCGGAGUGAAAGGCUAAUCAAGCUCGGAGAUAGCUGGUUCUCCUCGAAAGCUAUUUAGGUAGCGCCUCAUGUAUCACUGUAGGGGGUAGAGCACUGUUUCGGCUAGGGGGUCAUCCCGACUUACCAAACCGAUGCAAACUCCGAAUACCUACAAGUGCCGAGCAUGGGAGACACACGGCGGGUGCUAACGUCCGUCGUGAAAAGGGAAACAACCCAGACCGUCAGCUAAGGUCCCAAAGUCAUGGUUAAGUGGGAAACGAUGUGGGAAGGCUUAGACAGCUAGGAGGUUGGCUUAGAAGCAGCCACCCUUUAAAGAAAGCGUAAUAGCUCACUAGUCGAGUCGGCCUGCGCGGAAGAUGUAACGGGGCUCAAACCAUGCACCGAAGCUACGGGUAUCACCUUUGGUGAUGCGGUAGAGGAGCGUUCUGUAAGCCUGUGAAGGUGAGUUGAGAAGCUUGCUGGAGGUAUCAGAAGUGCGAAUGCUGACAUGAGUAACGACAAUGGGUGUGAAAAACACCCACGCCGAAAGACCAAGGUUUCCUGCGCAACGUUAAUCGACGCAGGGUUAGUCGGUCCCUAAGGCGAGGCUGAAAAGCGUAGUCGAUGGAAAACAGGUUAAUAUUCCUGUACUUCUGGUUAUUGCGAUGGAGGGACGGAGAAGGCUAGGCCAGCCUGGCGUUGGUAGUCCAGGUUUAAGGUGGUAGGCUGAGAUCUUAGGUAAAUCCGGGAUCUUAAGGCCGAGAGCUGAUGACGAGUGUUCUUUUAGAACAUGAAGUGGUUGAUGCCAUGCUUCCAAGAAAAGCUUCUAAGCUUCAGGUAACCAGGAACCGUACCCCAAACCGACACAGGUGGUUGGGUAGAGAAUACCAAGGCGCUUGAGAGAACUCGGGUGAAGGAACUAGGCAAAAUGGCACCGUAACUUCGGGAGAAGGUGCGCCGGUGAGGGUGAAGCAUUUACUGCGUAAGCCCACGCCGGUCGAAGAUACCAGGCCGCUGCGACUGUUUAUUAAAAACACAGCACUCUGCAAACACGAAAGUGGACGUAUAGGGUGUGACGCCUGCCCGGUGCCGGAAGGUUAAUUGAUGGGGUUAGCGCAAGCGAAGCUCUUGAUCGAAGCCCCGGUAAACGGCGGCCGUAACUAUAACGGUCAUAAGGUAGCGAAAUUCCUUGUCGGGUAAGUUCCGACCUGCACGAAUGGCGUAACGAUGGCGGCGCUGUCUCCACCCGAGACUCAGUGAAAUUGAAAUCGCUGUGAAGAUGCAGUGUAUCCGCGGCUAGACGGAAAGACCCCGUGAACCUUUACUAUAGCUUUGCACUGGACUUUGAAUUUGCUUGUGUAGGAUAGGUGGGAGGCUUUGAAGCGUGGACGCCAGUCUGCGUGGAGCCAACCUUGAAAUACCACCCUGGCAACUUUGAGGUUCUAACUCAGGUCCGUUAUCCGGAUCGAGGACAGUGUAUGGUGGGUAGUUUGACUGGGGCGGUCUCCUCCUAAAGAGUAACGGAGGAGUACGAAGGUGCGCUCAGACCGGUCGGAAAUCGGUCGUAGAGUAUAAAGGCAAAAGCGCGCUUGACUGCGAGACAGACACGUCGAGCAGGUACGAAAGUAGGUCUUAGUGAUCCGGUGGUUCUGUAUGGAAGGGCCAUCGCUCAACGGAUAAAAGGUACUCCGGGGAUAACAGGCUGAUACCGCCCAAGAGUUCAUAUCGACGGCGGUGUUUGGCACCUCGAUGUCGGCUCAUCACAUCCUGGGGCUGAAGCCGGUCCCAAGGGUAUGGCUGUUCGCCAUUUAAAGUGGUACGCGAGCUGGGUUUAGAACGUCGUGAGACAGUUCGGUCCCUAUCUGCCGUGGACGUUUGAGAUUUGAGAGGGGCUGCUCCUAGUACGAGAGGACCGGAGUGGACGAACCUCUGGUGUUCCGGUUGUCACGCCAGUGGCAUUGCCGGGUAGCUAUGUUCGGAAAAGAUAACCGCUGAAAGCAUCUAAGCGGGAAACUUGCCUCAAGAUGAGAUCUCACUGGAACCUAGAGUUCCCUGAAGGGCCGUCGAAGACUACGACGUUGAUAGGUUGGGUGUGUAAGCGCUGUGAGGCGUUGAGCUAACCAAUACUAAUUGCCCGUGAGGCUUGACCAU
rnacentral:rRNA from 1 species